GACGAACGCUGGCGGCGUGCUUAACACAUGCAAGUCGAACGGAAAGGCCCUGCUUUUGUGGGGUGCUCGAGUGGCGAACGGGUGAGUAACACGUGAGUAACCUGCCCUUGACUUUGGGAUAACUUCAGGAAACUGGGGCUAAUACCGGAUAGGAGCUCCUGCUGCAUGGUGGGGGUUGGAAAGUUUCGGCGGUUGGGGAUGGACUCGCGGCUUAUCAGCUUGUUGGUGGGGUAGUGGCUUACCAAGGCUUUGACGGGUAGCCGGCCUGAGAGGGUGACCGGCCACAUUGGGGCUGAGAUCCGGCCCAGACUCCUACGGGAGGCAGGAGUGGGGAAUAUUGCACAAUGGGCGGAAGCCUGAUGCAGCAACGCCGCGUGCGGGAUGACGGCCUUCGGGUUGUAAACCGCUUUCGCCUGUGACGAAGCGUGAGUGACGGUAAUGGGUAAAGAAGCACCGGCUAACUACGU
rnacentral:rRNA from 1 species